UGGGGAAUCUUGCGCAAUGGGCGAAAGCCUGACGCAGCAACGCCGCGUGGGGGAUGAAGGCUCUCGGGUCGUAAACCCCUUUCAGCAGGGACGAAACUGACGGUACCUGCAGAAGAAGCCCCGGCCAACUACGUGCCAGCAGCCGCGGUAACACGUAGGGUGCAAGCGUUGUCCGGAAUUACUGGGCGUAAAGAGCUCGUAGGCGGUUCGGUAAGUCAGAUGUGAAAACUCUGGGCUCAACCCAGAGAUGCCAUCUGAUACUGCUGUGUCUGGAGUCCGGUAGAGGAGCGUGGAAUUCCUGGUGUAGCGGUGAAAUGCGCAGAUAUCAGGAGGAACACCAACGGCGAAGGCAGCGCUCUGGGCCGGUACUGACGCUGAGGAGCGAAAGCAUGGGGAGCAAACAGGAUUAGAUACCCGGGUAGUCC
rnacentral:rRNA from 1 species